UUUGGUGGAAAGAAAAGGCAUAAUUUUAUUGUCCCAAAAGAAAAUGAUUUUAAUAACUCCUUACCGUUCUAGGAAGGGUGCUGGGAAAAUCCAGGUUGAAUUAUAGACCGCAAUUUCGUUGAUCUCUCCCUUGCAGCAGUCCCAAAUCUUUCAACUACUUAGUCGGCCAAACGCGGCUGCAUUUCAACCUUUUACGGGUGUAAUUUUUUAGGCCAAACGUUGCUGAUUUUUUGGCCAUUUGCAACUCAUUUUGGGAGUAAUCCACUGCUACAGUUGAUGCUGAUUUUUUAGCCCAAAAGCUGCUGCGUUUUGGUCAUUUGCACCUCAUUUUUGGAAGUAAUAUACUGCUGCAUUUUGGGGUCAUGGGCUGCUGUACUUUUAGCCAUUCUUGGGUUCCUUUGCUGUUACAUUUCGAGAUCUAUUGCUUUAUUUUUGUGAGAAGUCAUUAACUGUAAACUGGAACAGAGGGUUGAGCUUAUGCUCCUUUCACUUUGUAAUUCCUGAUUUAUUGAUAUAAAGGUCACGCCACCUUAUGGCGAUAAUAUUUUUAAAAAGAAAAUCCAACUUUUAAUAAGUAGAAUUACGCGUAUAGAUAUAUUUUUUGAGUGACUUGAUAAUGUAAUUUUUUGAUAUUAAAAAAAAAAGAAGUAACAAUCAAAAUAAAUACUGUAUUAAAACUUACAGCACAAUACAAUACAACCGUCCAAACAAGCUGUUAGUUUCUGUGUUUAUUUUUUUCAGUAAUGGGUGAUAUAUUUACGUGGUGUAGCUACUCAGUUCCUAUCAAGGUGCAUUCCUUUCGUAUCUAACUCUUGGAUUGUUCGACACCUCACUUAAUAAGACUAUGCCGCAAUCUUUACAUUUGUUUUCUUAUCAGUGCUCAUCAUUAUUCACAUUUUAUGCUAGCAAAAUUGCUACACGUUUUUUGUUAACCUGAAAUAAGUUACUCCUAUUAUAUUUCUAGGUAAUUUGCAAAUCUCGUGGAGCUCAUUCUUUAGGCUGAAUUGUAGAUUUACUUUAAUUUGAGGGCUGAUGAACUUUUUGCUUUAUUGUUUACGGUGUAAAUGGGCAGUGUUAAUUUGAUAAGCAAUAGGUUUCUUUUGACCUUCUUCAACUCCUCAUUUGGGAUGAGGAUAUAUAAGAUGGUAGUACUUAUUAUUAUGCAUAAUGUUCUUGGCAUCUGUUUCUGUUUCAGUUAGAUAAUAAAAUAGAACCUUUUAAACCUGGAAAGUCCCAUGGUACUGAGACUAGAAUCCUGUUGUUACAUGCUUUUUGAAAAGAUAUAUAUUUGAUUCUACUGGUUGUUGGAAAUUUACUUAGAAUGAUUUUAGCUGCAUUAGCUUCACCCAUCCAUGUUACCUUCCCGAUUUGGCCUUAUCCCUUCUACUCUUUCCCGUCCACUUCGAUUUGUUCCUUAUGGUUACAACAACAACAACAAGCCUAGUAGAAUCCCACCAUGUGGGGUCUGGGGAGGAUAGAGUGUACGCAGACCUAACCCCCACCUUGAAAGGUAGGGCGGCUGUUUCCGAAAGACCCUCGGCUCAAGAGAGGAAAACAAGACAAAAGGUCAAAUAGGGCCAAGCAUAUCAAAAACAAUAUGAAAACGAGGAAUAACAAAAGCGAGGAAGUCAUGGUAGAAAGGAGCAUUAACUACCAUAGAUAUAAGAUAAUCAAAGUACAGAGACCCAACAAAUAUAAGCAGAAAUCAAAUGGCAAUAAACGAAUGAGCAAAACUACAACUACUAUGGUGAAAGGAUAAGCAACCUAGCCUUCUAUCCUAAUCUGAGUCUAUCCACAACCUCCUAGCCUUAUGGUUAGUGCUGGGAAUAAGAAAAGAAAAAAGUAUGAUUUGUUGUAGUAGUAGAGGAAGUUAUAAAAAAUACUCGGACAGCCGAAGUAUGUAUUAGAAAGGCAAUACAUUAAAGUUUAAUUAGAAAUACUGACAUUGUUUUGAUAUUUAUUUGAUUCAUGGAGAAUCCGAACAUAACCAAGACUAUACGAAAUGCUCUAACAUUGCUUUUGCACAUCAUGUCGUUGUAUGCUGUACAAUUUCACCUGUUCAUUACUUGUGUGCUCUUUCUUAGUCGAGAAGGUUUCCGGCGAGGAUGCAUGAGGACUGAUAUCCAGUGGUACUUUUGAAUAUUUUACUGUCAAGCCACUUUUGCUCCCUUUCUUCUUCUUCGGUUCAUAUAUUAAAGCUUCUUUUUAUCUGUCUAAACGUAAAUUUACUGUUUCUCUCCUGUAGUAAAUAGAGAUUUUUUUUAAUUUUUUUUUUUGGAGAGGUUGCAUGGCCAUAGUAAGUAAGUUCUUUUUUUUUCUCCAAAAAGAAAAGGCAAGGAAGUUCUUCUUUCGGAACCACCUUCUCAUGAAUUAUGAAAAUUUCUACACUGUGAUCCACAUAAUUGCCAAUUAAAUAUCUGUCGAAGUAUAAAAAAAUUAUGAAGUUCUGUUCUUAAGACUUCAAUCAUGCUUGAUUUUCACGUUGAAACAUCAAAACUAGUCUCCAGAGCAAAGCUUUUCAUUUCUUAGAUGUAUUUGUAGUCCUGUGAAGAUUUUGAAGACAUUUUGGGCAAAACACAAAUGUUAGGUGUUCUAGAUCUUAAACUAAUGUGUCACAAACGGGUAAUGUGAAUAGAAUAUAUUAGGAAACCAAAUGUUCAUUGCCUGAAUAUAAAGUGAACAUUGCUGAAAACUUGUACAACAAAUAUAGAUUGUAGUUUAUCUGGUUUAACAUUGUCUGGAUCCACCAAGACAAGUUGCCAUAUAUCUGUUUAUGGAUUUAUCUGUAUCAGGUAGGUGAUAUACUUCUACCAGAAACAUCAUUCGUCAUCUGUUUGAAGUUUAAAGAUAUCGCUGCUAUUACCUAUGCAGUGAUGGAUCUUCAAGGGCAGAAAAUGCGGCAGAACUCUUGACAGUAGCUUGGAUGGUCUUCCUGUUGGGAGUAAUUGUAACACUUGUAGGAUGUCAUUUUGUUUUGUGGUUGCAGGAACCAAGUUACUGGAGUCAGUAUGCACAGGCUAUAUGGAUAAAUAGUAAGCUUAAACUUUGAUGUACAAACUUUUUAAGAUGUGCUUUGUGCACAUUCUUGCAAUAAGCUGGUUAUCAACCUGACCUAGGAGAAUGCAAUAUUCCAUGGGUGCAUCUGAUUUUGACUUUUGAAGAGGGUCCAUUGCAAUGAACAUUGACUGAAUCUGUAUGUCUUUGGCUUCAAUGUGAUUAUGCUUCGACUGGCUUUAACUUAUAUUUAUUUGUUCUACCUACAUCAGGGUGAAGGUCUGGGACUUCCGAGUAGUGUACAUUGGACUUAUUGGCCAUUUAAGUUCUUUUGUUCGACAAAUAACUUUUUUCUAUUUGGUAAUUGAUGAGUAGAUAUAUAUAUAUUUUUUUUUGUGUCCUUUAUUAUUGUAAUUUUCCUAUUGAGCAGGCUUGCAUGUAUGCUGGAGCUACUAGAAAAACCUUCUUACAUAUUGUGUCAGAAUCUGCUUCAACUCAAGUUACAGCUGAUAGUUGAAACUGCAGCUACCCUUUCACGUUGCUUAACUACCUACAUCCUCAUUGUAAAGCUACCUGACGUGGUCUACCUCGUCCGUUUUUAGCAUUUUCAGUUACCGUGUAGCAUCUAAUAUUUGAAGGUAUGCGUAUGAAGUGUCUAAACUAUUUGAAGCCACUCUCUCUCGUUUUAACAUCUGGUUGUACUAGUACCACCCUCUUUUAAUCUGAUCAUUUAAACUUUUGUUCAAUCUUAGAUUACUGCUUAAAUCAGUAAUAGACAUUGAACUUCAAGUGAAAAUAUCUUUUGAAGUUUCAAAAUCCUAAAGAGAGAUUUGGAGACAAGAAAAAAGUUGGUCAAGCAACCCGUUGGUUUGCACCUGAGAUCUUUCUUCAGAAACGGGAUGAUGGGGCGGGCGUCCAACUUUCAGUACUCUUUGUCAUGUUGCAUACUUAUGCCUUAUCUUUUUCUUAAAAUAUUUGCUUACUCGCUCCAUGGAACUGUUAUCAAAGAUCUUUACAUCUGUACUUUCAGUUGUUGAUCUCUUUUGUUUUUCCAGUACACCUGUAAGAGUUGUUUAACUUGCAGUUAUGCAAUAAUUAAAUUUGGUUAAGUUGUGCUUUAGUACUAUCAAGGCAAAAAAAAAAUAUUUCUUACUUGAAUGAAAAGUUUAUUGUAUUUUCAUCGAUUCUGAUUCUGCUCGUGAACCUUCUUUCUCUAUCAAUAAGAACCAUCAGUUAACGUCUUCACUAAUGUCUAUUAAUUCAAAAGAGUCUCCCCCGGUUAAAAAGAAUGUCUUCCUUUCCUUAAUUAAAUGGAGAAGGUUAAUGGAAAAGGUUGUCGGAUUUAAUCAUGGAAAAGGAAGAGAGGAAAUUAGGACUUAACACAUUACUCAAGAGAGUUUUUUUUUUUUUUUUUUGGCACCUCAAUGUCUUCACAUUCCAAUAGCACACCUUUCUUGUGACCUACUCCCACUAAAAUGUCCUUGGAUACCAUGCCUUACAUUCUGAAGAACACCAAAAGCAGUUCUGCUCCCUCACUUGUUAGGUUACGGUUAUUUGAUUUUGCCGAGUCCUGAUGCCUGGACAAGCCUGUUGAAUCUUAGGGAAAUUUUGAGCAGCAUCUGUGAGGACAUUCUUUCAGGCUUAGGCUAAACAACUUCAGUUUCUAUAUCAUUUCUGCUAAUACUAUUAGGCAGCCUCUGUCUGUGGAUCUUCUUCUGGUUCCUCUGAACAGCCUAAGGCCUAGCACAUGUACAGAAGCCAAUCUAGUGCCGAUUUCACCCUGACACAUAAGUAGAUUAACAGUUCAGAGCACCAAUAAUCUGCAAAAGUUUGAAGAGAUUAGAUAACAUAAUUAUCAUUGUAAAAGAGGAAGUAUCUUAUGAACCUUGAAGCAUAAAUCAUAAAUGAUAAUAAUGUAUGUUAGUGUGACCUCAAAGCUAUUAAAUAUGAUCUUGAAAGAGAGCCAUUUUCUAGAAGGGGAACAGACUGAAGGUUGCAAUUCCCAAUCUUUGGCUGCUACUUCGAUGUGUUCGACUUUUAUGAUUUAACUCUCUCCACUACCACUGCCGUACAUCGGUAACUUCUUGAUAAAGACUGACUCUACAUGUUCGUAUAAAUUCGGAGAAUGAUGCAGCUACCAAACAAGGGAAUUCUCUUGAGCUUUUUGAUAAAAAAUUUAAAAGCAUGUUUAGCUCUAUAAUCCAGCAAAGCUUAUUUAACCAGCCCUAUUUACUGUGCAUGUCUAGGCUAAUGUGCUAUCCUCGAUGCGCAGUUUGGCAAUUGAUGAGUUAAUUUGUUUUACAUUUUUGGCGGACAUAGGAUUGUUAGCAAAUAUCUUUGUUUCUAAUCCAGCUCAGUUUUCUUGUAUCCUAGUCAUGAUUUGUACAUUUUUCUUGAAUGGACUCGGUAGGUUCUUGCCUCAGGACAAAGCUUUUAUAGCUUGUUUUGCCUGUUUGGAAUCCCAUAAAAGGAUAGGUUCUGAAGCCAUGCCUUACCAUAGCGAGUCGUCAAAUGGAAAUGGAUUUUGUUCACUUUUAGUGACAAGACCUUUUUUUUUAGGAUUAAGGUGAAUAGGAACGAACCAUCUUUUGUGCUUGUGUUCUUGAGCUUUAGGAUCUGUAGACCGAUCAGGAUGAGGCAAAUUCUUCGUCCUCUGAGGUUCAACUAGGAGAUGGUAUUUAUAAUUCUGCAAGUUUAUGUAUGUUUAAGAAACAAGCCUCUGAUAGCCUAACUCCGUCUAACUUGGAUUCUGACCCCUGUUAAUCAAGAAACUAUCUAGACAUCCUUGCAACACAUGCUGCUGCUGCCGCCUCGUUAUGUAAGGGGCUUUUUGGUUUCUAAUUAUUGGGGUUCCCAAAUCAUGCUGUUCAAAAAUGAUGUUACCAACUUGAUAGUAUAUGCCUUUGAAUAUCUUCAGAAAGUUCUUUAUUUAGUUUCAAAUAGCUGGGUUCUUUAAAUCAAGUAUGCAUCUAGAAGACUCUGCCGCUGAGCGUUAUAGGAUUUCAUCCUACAGCAUUGUGGAUUAUGGUUAUUAAGAUGCUUAGACGAACUAAAGUUUUUCAUAGUUUUGCCAGCCUUACUACCACAAACUCUCUAAGUCUGAUCGGUUGUGUUUGGUGCAAGAACGCCUGUAGCAUUUCUGAAUGCCGUUCCAAAUCAGAACCCACUCAAGCACUCUAAUGAUGUCUUGCUUGUGUUCUCAGGCUCCAGUCAGUGACUGAUAUAGCAGUUAGGAUCACUUACUCCACAUUAUUCAUCAGGAGCUAUUUCCAGGUAUAUGCUUGUGAAACUUACUGUCUCUUGUGGUAUGGAAGUAUAGGAUUUUGUUGGUGCUUACAGAAUAUAGAAUUUUGAAGGAUAGUAGAACUCACAUUCCCUGGAUUUCAGACCAUGAUUACUUUAUGGAUUUUUCUCAGGUUUCACCCUCAUUCUCCAUUGAUGGGUGCCUGCCUUCUGGUUGGACCAUUCUUCUUCUUUCUGGACUCAUCACUCUAAUCUCGGAAAAUUAUACUUCUGAAUGGGGAAAACUUCUCGGAAUCAUUUUGCAUUCACUUCUCCAUGGGAAUAACCUGUUUCACUGUAGCAACCUUUAUUAUGUAGCUAUCGUCGUGAGAGGAGCUUUAUCAACAAAAUCAUAUGUUUCCUGGGGCAUGUUGACUGAAGAAUGAAGUCACUCUAGCGAGAUCAAUUUACCCCUACCAUUAAUGUUCAGGCUUAUGGAUACUCUAUCUUGGGGUUCGCUUUGACAUGGUACCUCUGUGUGCUGGUAAAAGCGUGAACUUAGCUAAAGCAUAAUUAGCAUAUUCUUUCAUCGGUGAGAUUAAAUUUAACCGCUAAUGCACAUCAUUCAUUGUUUGGUUGCAAUUCAAAGUCAAGUUUUACUGGGUAUGGGAAGUUUCUCAUGUUUUAUUAACUGGUUCAUGUUCCUUCUAUAUUUAGCUUUAAGAUUUGCUCAAUGCUGCAAGAGGUUUGUGACUCAUUUGUUUCCAGGACAAAUUUAAGGGAUGCUGGGAUCCAUCAUAUAAUUAUUCAGAUCGAUGAUUAGGCCCUUCUGCAGUUCAUAAGGAUGUAGAUUUUCAGAUCCACUUUAAUCAAGAAUGACAGUACAUUAUUAAUGACUUAACCCAUCGAAAAGAUAUUUAAGAAGAUUAGAAACCCAUCUAAACGAUACUGAAGAAGAUUAGCCUUUAACUCUUGUUUACUAUCACUUUAUUUCAAACCUCCUAAUGUUGGCUGAUGUUGAGUCUAGUGUCCGCUCUGCAUUUACUGCAUCAAGUAAUACAAAUAAUUUGUAUUAGGGUAUAGUCAUGCUUCACUGACAGGACUUUGUUUUUAACAUUUUUAAAUUCAGUUUUAAUCUUUGUGCAGGUAUAAGUAUCUUAUGCAAUCUAUUCUUCAUUUCCCCUUGCUCUUGCACGUGGCACGUAGAAACCAUUCUCACCUAAAUGAUGUAAGGGGCAAAGAGGUAUCAACUUUCUGGUGCUUCUGCUUUCAUAUAGUUCUUUUGAACAUUUGUUGAGUUGGAGAACUAACAAGGUGGUACUAAGAAUGCUGCAUUACUCCCCGGUGGUGUCGUUAAAUUAUCAUCAUAUCUUUGCUUCGGUUUCUUUUCCUUUGUAUUUUCGAAUCAAGCUGAGCUUCAUGCAGCAUUAUUAAGGUGGAAUCUGAGGUGUAAAUACUAUCCAGUGACGGAAUAAGUUUUAUGUUUCAGACUUACUCUCCAAAAAAAAAAAAAAGUUUUUAUGUUUGAGAUCUGUUUAGAGCCUUUACUAUUGUUUAUUUAUGACCUAUAAACGUUGUGUUCAGUGUCAUAGGAUGCUGCCUAUGUACAUUUAAGGCCACCCUGUAUAGAUUUUCACUGUAUUCAUCAUGUCAAUUCUCUUU